UACGUAGGUGGCAAGCGUUGUCCGGAAUUAUUGGGCGUAAAGGGCUCACAGGCGGUUUCUUAAGUCUGAUGUGAAAGCCCCCGGCUCAACCGGGGAGGGUCAUUGGAAACUGGGAAACUUGAGUGCAGAAGAGGAGAGUGGAAUUCCACGUGUAGCGGUGAAAUGCGUAGAGAUGUGGAGGAACACCAGUGGCGAAGGCGAGUCCCUGGACAACUCCUGACACUGAGGCACGAAAGCUAGGGGAGCAAACAGG
rnacentral:rRNA from 1 species